AUUUAAUAUUUGCUUAAUUCUGAAAUUCAGAGAAGCGGGGGAACCAAUUAAAUGGGGUGAAUCCAUAUGGUAGGGCAAGCCCUUUUGCCCGAAUCCGACAGCUAACCUCGUAAGCACUAAAGGGGAAGUAA
rnacentral:sRNA from 2 species